UUGCUCACUUCAGCAGCAAAUAUACUAAAAUUGGAAUGAUACAGAGAAGAUUAGCAUGCCCCUUGCACAAGGAUGACACACAAAUUCGUGAAGCAUUUUU
ensembl:snRNA U6 U6 spliceosomal RNA